UGGGGAAUAUUGCACAAUGGGCGAAAGCCUGAUGCAGCAACGCCGCGUGAGUGAAGAAGGCCUUCGGGUCGUAAAGCUCUUUUGCUAGGGAAGCAGGGCAGCUAGGUAAAUAAUCUAGUUGUUUGACUGUACCUAGAGAAAAAGCACCGGCUAACUCCGUGCCAGCAGCCGCGGUAAUACGGAGGGUGCAAGCGUUGUUCGGAAUUACUGGGCGUAAAGCGCACGUAGGCGGGUUUUUAAGUCGAUUGUGAAAUACCCGGGCUUAACCUGGGAUGUGCAGUCGAAACUGAAAGUCUUGAAUGCUAGAGAGGAUGGCGGAAUUCCUGGUGUAGAAGUGAAAUUCGUAGAGAUCAGGAGGAACACCGGAGGCGAAGGCGGCUAUCUGGCUAUGCAUUGACGCUGAGGUGCGAAAGCGUGGGGAGCAAACAGG
rnacentral:rRNA from 1 species